rnacentral:rRNA from 1 species
AUAAUGGGUCAGCGACUUAUAUUCUGUAGCAAGGUUAACCGAAUAGGGGAGCCGAAGGGAAACCGAGUCUUAACUGGGCGUUAAGUUGCAGGGUAUAGACCCGAAACCCGGUGAUCUAGCCAUGGGCAGGUUGAAGGUUGGGUAACACUAACUGGAGGACCGAACCGACUAAUGUUGAAAAAUUAGCGGAUGACUUGUGGCUGGGGGUGAAAGGCCAAUCAAACCGGGAGAUAGCUGGUUCUCCCCGAAAGCUAUUUAGGUAGCGCCUCGUGAAUUCAUCUCCGGGGGUAGAGCACUGUUUCGGCAAGGGGGUCAUCCCGACUUACCAACCCGAUGCAAACUGCGAAUACCGGAGAAUGUUAUCACGGGAGACACACGGCGGGUGCUAACGUCCGUCGUGAAGAGGGAAACAACCCAGACCGCCAGCUAAGGUCCCAAAGUCAUGGUUAAGUGGGAAACGAUGUGGGAAGGCCCAGACAGCCAGGAUGUUGGCUUAGAAGCAGCCAUCAUUUAAAGAAAGCGUAAUAGCUCACUGGUCGAGUCGGCCUGCGCGGAAGAUGUAACGGGGCUAAACCAUGCACCGAAGCUGCGGCAGCGACGCUGAUGCGUUGUUGG